rnacentral:rRNA from 1 species
UACGAAGGGGCUAGCGUUGCUCGGAAUCACUGGGCGUAAAGCGCACGUAGGCGGCUUUUUAAGUCAGGGGUGAAAUCCUGGAGCUCAACUCCAGAACUGCCUUGAUACUGAGAGCUUGAGUGCCGGAGAGGGUCGCGGAAUUCCCGGUGUAGAGGUGAAAUUCGUAGAUAUCGGGAGGAACACCAGUGGCGAAGGCGGCGACCUGGACGGACGACUGACGCUGAGACGCGAAAGCGUGGGG